rnacentral:rRNA from 1 species
CCUACGGGAGGCAGCAGUGAGGAAUAUUGGUCAAUGGCCGAGAGGCUGAACCAGCCAAGUCGCGUGAGGGAAGACGGCCCUACGGGUUGUAACCCUCUUUUGUCGGGGAGCAAAGCGAGUCACUUGUUACUCAUUGAGCGUCCUCGAACAAAAAGCAUCGGCUACCUCCGUUCCAGCAGCCGCGGUAAUAAGGAGGAUGCAAGCGUUCUCCGGAUUUAUUGGGUUUAAAGGGUGCGCAGGUGGAAGUGCAAGUCAGCGGUAAAAUUGCGGGGCUCAUCCCCGUACUGCCGUUUGAACUGCAUCCCUUGAGUGCGCGAGAAGUAUGCGGAAUGCGUGGUGUAGCGGUGAAAUGCAUAGAUAUCACGCAGAACUCCGAUGGCGAAGGCAGUAUACCGGCGCGCAACUGACGCUCAUGCGCGAAAGCGUGGGUAUCGAACAGGAUUAGAUACCCCUGUAGUC